rnacentral:rRNA from 1 species
AUGACCUACGGGAGGCAGCAGUGGGGGAUAUUGCACAAUGGGGGGAACCCUGAUGCAGCGACGCCGCGUGGGUGAAGAAGUCAUUCGUGACGUAAAGCCCUAUCAGCAGGGAAGAAAAUGACGGUACCUGACUAAGAAGCCCCGGCUAACUACGUGCCAGCAGCCGCGGUAAUACGUAGGGGGCAAGCGUUAUCCGGAUUUACUGGGUGUAAAGGGAGCGUAGACGGCCAUUCAAGCCAGAUGUGAAAGCCCGGGGCUCAACCCCGGGACUGCAUUUGGAACUGUGUGGCUAGAGUGUCGGGGAG